AACGAACGCUGGCGGCAUGCCUAACACAUGCAAGUCGAACGAGACCUUCGGGUCUAGUGGCGCACGGGUGCGUAACGCGUGGGAACCUGCCCUUAGGUUCGGAAUAACUCCCCGUAAGGGGUGCUAAUACCGGAUAAUGUCUUCGGACCAAAGAUUUAUCGCCUUUGGAUGGGCCCGCGUUGGAUUAGCUAGUUGGUAGGGUAAAAGCCUACCAAGGCGACGAUCCAUAGCUGGUCUGAGAGGAUGAUCAGCCACACUGGGACUGAGACACGGCCCAGACUCCUACGGGAGGCAGCAGUGGGGAAUAUUGGACAAUGGGCGAAGGCCUGAUCCAGCAAUGCCGCGUGAGUGAUGAAGGCCUUAGGGUUGUAAAGCUCUUUUACCCGGGAUGAUAAUGACAGUACCGGGAGAAUAAGCUCCGGCUAACUCCGUG
rnacentral:rRNA from 1 species